UACGUAGGGUGUGAGCGUUGUCCGGAAUUAUUGGGCGUAAAGAGCUCGUAGGCGGUUUGUUGCGUCUAUCGUGAAAACCUGCGGCUUAACUGUGGGCUUGCGGUGGAUACGGGCAGACUUGAGUUCGGUAGGGGAGACUGGAAUUCCUGGUGUAGCGGUGAAAUGCGCAGAUAUCAGGAGGAACACCGGUGGCGAAGGCGGGUCUCUGGGCCGAUACUGACGCUGAGGAGCGAAAGCGUGGGGAGCGAACAGG
rnacentral:rRNA from 1 species